GGAGGAGUGGCCGAGUGGUUUAAGGCGGCGGUCUUGAAAACCGUUGCGGGGCAACCCGCCGUGGGUUCGAAUCCCUCCUCCUCCG
rnacentral:tRNA from 1 species